UACGUAGGGUGCGAGCGUUAAUCGGAAUUACUGGGCGUAAAGCGUGCGCAGGCGGUUUUGUAAGCCAGAUGUGAAAUCCCCGGGCUUAACCUGGGAAUGGCAUUUGGGACUGCAAGGCUGGAGUGCGGCAGAGGAGACUGGAAUUCCUGGUGUAGCAGUGAAAUGCGUAGAUAUCAGGAGGAAUACCGGUGGUGCAGACGGCUCUCUGGACCGCAACUGACGCUGAGACACGAAAGCGUGGGUAGCAAACAGG
rnacentral:rRNA from 1 species